AUUGAACGCUGGCGGCAGGCCUAACACAUGCAAGUCGAGCGAGCGGCGGACGGGUGAGUAAUGUCUGGGAAACUGCCUGAUGGAGUGGGAUAACUACUGGAAACGGUAGCUAAUUCCGCAUACCAUCAGAUGUGCCCCGAUGGGCUUAGCUAGUAGGUGGGGUAACGGCUCCCCUAGGCGACGAACCCUAGCUGGUCUGAGAGGAUGACCAGCCACACUGGAACUGAGACACGGUCCAGACUCCUACGGGAGGCAGCAGUGGGGAAGAGUGCACAAGGGGCGCAAGCCUGAUGCAGCCAUGCCGCGUGUGUGAAGAAGGCCUUCGGGUUGUAAAGCACUUUCAGCGGGGAGGCGUUACCCGCAGAAGAAGCACCGGCUAACUCCGUGCCAGCAGCCGCGGUAAUAC
rnacentral:rRNA from 1 species